rnacentral:lncRNA from 1 species
AGCACAAAUCUCACCUUUGUGUCACUUGUCCUUGUAAGUUUUCUAUUGCCACACCUUGUUUGGCUCAUUGUGGUGUGUCAAGCCGUAACAGACCCAUUACUUCCCUGUGAGGCUCCAUACACCCACCAGUACGUGACAGUUGGUAAGAACUGCAGUUGUAGCAGCUGUUUUUCUCUCAGCGGCCUCAAGUGGCAACAAUGAGCCCAUUCCUUACUCCAAGUGACACAAGGGCCACUGUUAACCAUGCCAUAUACUGCAUUGCAACGUCAGGUCACUGGAUGUACAGCAUGAUCAUGGACUUUUAAUGGACUUCUUUUCCAUUCAGUGUGGAAUUUUCCAAGUACAGCCAGUGCUGCAGUGGUCAGAGUGAUGGCGUAAAGGAAG